rnacentral:siRNA from 1 species
AGGAGCAUAUAUGGUACAGAUUAU